rnacentral:rRNA from 1 species
UGCGUAGGCGGGUUUCUAAGUCGGAGGUGAAAGCCUGGAGCUCAACUCCAGAACUGCCUUUGAUACUGGAAGUCUUGAGUAUGGCAGAGGUGAGUGGAACUGCGAGUGUAGAGGUGAAAUUCGUAGAUAUUCGCAAGAACACCAGUGGCGAAGGCGGCUCACUGGGCCAUUACUGACGCUGAGGCACGAAAGCGUGGGGAGCAAACA